AUUGAACGCUGGCGGCAGGCUUAACACAUGCAAGUCGAGCGGAGAUGAGGUGCUUGCACCGUAUCUUAGCGGCGGAAGGGUGAGUAAUGUUUAGGAAUCUGCCUAUUAGUGGGGGACAACAUUCAGAAAGGAAUGCUAAUACCGCAUAACUCCUACGGGAGAAAGCAGGGGAUCUUCGGACCUUGCGCUAAGAGAUGAGCCUAAGUCGGAUUAGCUAGUUGGUGGGGGAAAGGCCUACCAAGGCGACGAUCUGUAGCGGGUCUGAGAGGAUGAUCCGCCACACUGGGACUGAGACACGGCCCAGACUACUACGGGAGGCAGCAGUGGGGAAUAUUGGACAAUGGGGGAAACCCUGAUCCAGCCAUGCCGCGUGUGUGAAGAAGGCCUUAUGGUUGUAAAGCACUUUAAGCGAGGAGGAGGCUACUGAGACUAAUACUCUUGGAUAGUGGACGUUACUCGCAGAAUAAGCACCGGCUAACUCUGUGCCAGCCGCCGCAGUGA
rnacentral:rRNA from 1 species